GUGGGGAAUCUUGCGCAAUGGGCGAAAGCCUGACGCAGCCAUGCCGCGUGAAUGAUGAAGGUCUUAGGAUUGUAAAAUUCUUUCACCGGGGACGAUAAUGACGGUACCCGGAGAAGAAGCCCCGGCUAACUUCGUGCCAGCAGCCGCGGUAAUACGAAGGGGGCUAGCGUUGCUCGGUAUUACUGGGCGUAAAGGGCGCGUAGGCGGACAGUUUAGUCAGAGGUGAAAGCCCAGGGCUCAACCUUGGAAUUGCCUUUGAUACUGGCUGUCUUGAGUACGGGAGAGGUGAGUGGAACUCCGAGUGUAGAGGUGAAAUUCGUAGAUAUUCGGAAGAACACCAGUGGCGAAGGCGACUCACUGGCCCGUUACUGACGCUGAGGCGCGAAAGCGUGGGGAGCAAACAGGAUUAGAUACCCGGGUAGUCC
rnacentral:rRNA from 1 species